AAACAAAGCUGGGAAAACAACAAAGACUGGGAUUUAAAAAUCCUAGCCUAAAGCAACAAACAGCACAAAGCAGAGUCUCAUAGCUCGUUGUAAAUGCCUCUGAUCACGGGAUUUAUCGCUCUCCCACCUGUGUUCUUUUAAUCUAGCUACUUCGCCUCUGCAAGCUGAUUCAGAAGAUGUCUAUCUGAAUCUUCAGCUGUUCACCUUGAGUAAUACCAUGGGGCCAGAAUUUGUCUCUGCAACUUGGUUCAAUAUUGAAAUGGAAGGAGACAAAAUGAGCAGGUGCAUCGUGUAGGGAUGACUCCCAGUUAAAGUGCCUAUAGUUUCUUUGUUACAAGGACAGAUAUUGGCCCAUGAUAUCGUGAAGGAGAAAAGCAGAGUCAUGAUCCUGCCUCAUUUUUUGUACAAGGCAACUCUGUUUUCCUGCUCCAGUGGGGAGACCGUAUCUUGAGACAAGACCGACCUCUGAAAGUUCAGCUAUGGCACUUAUUUUACCUUUUCCAGUUUGAACUCAUUUGUCAUUAGGCAACAAAAUUUUUGUAGCAAAAAUUUCCAAGCAGUUCUCUCCCUGCCUCUGAAGUCUGGGAAGCUCUGGAGCUGCUGCAAUGUGUGGCAGCACAAUGUGGUCACCCUGGAUGCUGUGUACUUGACACCAGGUCUGGCACAAUGACUCUGGUCUGACAGCUGGUGGCAGGUCCUUUGUGAAGUCCUGCACCAUUUCCACUCAACUCCAUUGCCCAACAUUGGACAUGCUUUAAGACCCUUUCUAGCACAGUCUGAUCAUCGUUUAGGUUUUCAUGUUCUUUGCCAAAUGAUGCAAAUACUCUGCAUAUGGAGAAAUGCACUGGAAUGUGUAAUACAAGAAGAAAGAGCUAUACCAAAAGGUAAGCUCAAUAACAAAAAAAACAAGAUAUAAUCAAAGUUCCAGAGUUUUUUCCCUUUGCC
rnacentral:lncRNA from 1 species